rnacentral:rRNA from 1 species
UACAGAGGUUUCAAGCGUUGUUCGGAUUCAUUGGGCGUAAAGGGUGCGUAGGUGGCGCGCUAAGUCAGGUGUGAAAUCUCGGGGCUCAACUCCGAAACUGCAUUUGAUACUGGCGUGCUUGAGGACUGGAGAGGAGACUGGAAUUUACGGUGUAGCAGUGAAAUGCGUAGAUAUCGUAAGGAAGACCAGUGGCGAAGGCGGGUCUCUGGACAGUUCCUGACACUGAGGCACGAAAGCCAGGGGAGCAAACGGG